AAACCUGCCGGAUCGUGCCCUUUCAAGAAUUCGUUGUGGAGCGGCCCUUCCGAGAGAAGAAUUUGAGCCCCACGCACCUAUGGGGAGUCGAGAGGAGUAUUGUGGAUUUCAAAGCUUAAGAAAUCAUCUCUCUUCCCCACCGAGGGCAUCACAUUGAAAUUAUAUCCAAGCGUAAAUACGGAAAGAUCCCACGGAUCGGCUAUUGAAUCGGAGAGAAGGUGAAGAACGGUCGUACUCUCGGUUAAGAAGUCAGCUAUCGUUUCUUGAGAACACUUCUGAUGGCUCCGAACUCGAAUGUCAGCCCUCUGUCAACCCCGAGCCCUCUGCCUACCCCGAGCCCUCUGUCUGCCCUGAGCCCUCUGCCUACCCCGAGCCCUCUGCCUACCCCGAGCCCUCUGCCUACAUGGAGGUUCGAAGACCGACGCUUGGAAAUACGCAGCCAUUAUUAUGGGCAAUGCCCGACCGAACGGCAGAAUCAGACCAAUCGGCAGAAAAAUCGGAAAGGCCAGACUUUGCGCGGUCAAAUAGCUCCGGUGGUCGACUUUAUGGACCGGGUGCACAAUGAACUCGUUAGGCAAUUGGGGGAUAAAUACCUCGAUCUUUUGGACGAGUACCGACGAGUCAAUCCUGAAUUGUGCAAUGAAUAGCUCCAAUGAGAAGGAGCGGUAUGAUACCGAAUAUACAAAGAAAUAAACGUAACUU